rnacentral:lncRNA from 10 species
UUCAGCCAGGAGAGCGCUGAAGGGAUCUGAGCUGAGAGCAAGUCUCAAACUCAGAGAAUGGAGGAGCUGCCCCGGAAGUGGCUGCUCGAGGCUGCAGUGAACUAUGAUCCUGCGGCCAAUCGCGGUGGCUCACGCCUGUAAUCCCAGCCUUCUGGGAGGCCGAGGCGGGCGGAUCGCUUGAGGUCAGAAGUUCGACACUAGCUUGGCCAACAUGGUAAAACACCGUCUCUACAAAAAAAUGCAAAAAUUAGUUGGGUGUGGUGGCGCGCGCCUGUGGUCCCAGCUACUCAGGAGGCUGAGGUGGGAGGAACGCUUGAGCGGGGGAGGCGGAAGUUACAGUGAGUCGAGAUCGCCCCACUGCACUCCAGCCUGGACAACAGAAUGAGACCCUGUCUAAAAAUAAAAUACAUGAGCCGA